rnacentral:lncRNA from 1 species
CUUCUCGGGAAGCUAUGCUGAAUUUAAAUUAUGUUAUGUAACAUAACUUGGACUAUGAUAUGUCAAAUUUGUGCCAGUUGAUAUGCUAAGAUACGCAAAUGUGCCAGUUAGAUGUGUCGAUAUUUCUGACGAAGCGGGGCCGACGGUAAUUCACGAGUUACGUCCCUUUGUUUGACACUAUCAUAAACAAACUAUUGUUAUAUCAAGCAAUAUGCUGUUAUUUACAUGUGGAUAUUAUUAAAAAUUAUCUUAUUAAAUAUAUUUUGAUACUGUAAACAUGUGCCAAAAAA